rnacentral:piRNA from 1 species
UGUGAACUCACUGGUUGAAUCAGC